UAAUACGUAGGAUGCUAGCGUUGUCCGGAUUUACUGGGCGUAAAGCGCGCGCAGGCGGCUCUUUAAGUAUGGCGUGAAAUCUCCCUGCUCAACGGGGAGGGUGCGUUGUAGACUGGAGGGCUUGAGGUCGGUAGAGGGGGGUGGAAUUGCUGGUGUAGCGGUGAAAUGCGUAGAGAUCAGCAGGAACACCCGUGGCGAAGGCGGCCCCCUGGGCCGAUCCUGACGCUGAGGCGCGAAGGCUAGGGGAGCGACCCGGAUUAGAUACCCGGUUAGUCCUAGCAGUAAACGAUGGCUACUAGGUGUGGGGGGUGUUGACCCCUCCUGUGCCGAAGCUAACGCAUUAAGUAGCCCGCCUGGGGAGUACGGUCGCAAGACUA
rnacentral:rRNA from 1 species